GCUCGAAGGGUUCAGUGGCGGCGCCUGUAAUCCAAGCUACUGGGAGGCUGAGGCUGACGGAUUGCUUGAGUUUAGGGCUUCUGGGCUGCAGUGGACUUUGUCGAUCAGGUGUCCGCUCUAGGUUCGGUAUCGAUAUUGUGCUCCUGGGAGAGCUCAGGACCACCAGGUCGUCUAAGGAGGGGUGAACCGGCUCAGUUCAGAGCCCCCCUCUCGAUCAGUAGUGGGACCCAGUCUGUAAAGAGACACUGCAGCGCAGCCUCAGCGAGACCCAGACAUUUUCUU
ensembl:misc_RNA Metazoa_SRP Metazoan signal recognition particle RNA